CCCAACUGCCAGCCUCCACCUCCACUCCACUAGCUCUCCCUCUCAUCUCUCUCUCUCCCCCCUCUCUCUUUCUUUUGGUCUCGCUUUUUGCUAUCUACGACUGUCCACCGCCAGCCAGCCUCCAUGACUGCUGCCUCCCUCCUGCAGAGUUUGGCCUCUUUUGCUCACUCUCCUUUUGGGUUUAUGCACUCUCCUUUCAACCCUCUGGCCUCUCUCUCUCCACACUUGCUCUCUUUAAGUCUCCUUUGUGUGAAUGUGAAUCAGUCUGCCCAGUCCGCUGGCAACUGCUGCAGGCUAUCACCUCCAUCCUCUGACCUUUCUAGCUCUUUUGUGUACUCGUUGCAGCUCGAUAAUUUAUUUAUUCUACUGUUUUAUAC
rnacentral:lncRNA from 1 species